CUUUGGAGUCGAUUCCACACAGCAGCGAAACUCGACCAAAUCGGUUGAUAUCGCGAUGGCCUGUUAUUGAAUUAGUUUAAAUUCUCCAUUUGAGUUGUCUAUUGUAUGUCGAGCGGCUUGUUUUACACGAUAUCCUCUGUUUCGGGUUUUGUAAAUAAUAAUAAUAAUAAUAAUAAAGGGAAACGAUAAGAAAAGUAUUGUGAGGAAUCGACUCUUGGAAUCGAGUCACAGCAGAGUGUAAACGGAACUUGAGACCGCUGUAACCCAAUCGCGUUCAAUAAAGAGAGCGCGCGCUUUGUGUCAUCGCACAUCAGAUCGGAUCAAGAGCCACCGAACAGAACCCUGAGUAAACUCUCAGAACAGCCAGACGGGAGAGAAGCCCAGAGGUACACCGUCGCCCAUCGAACCGUCAUCAGGCUGUACAGGAAUCUGCAGUCAUGCAGCAAUAUAAAGGAGUAUAAAGGUCACGAUCACAGAGCAGAUUGUUGCAUGUAUCGGGACAGUUCAGGAGUGUGCAGCCAUUACAGGUUCACUUCAGCGUCUCAGAGCGGUGAGGAACCUCUCCACAGGGAACAGACUUUAGAAAUCGCAGAAGGUGUCUCUCGCUCAGAGAAACAGGUGCCCAUCGCUGAAGUCCAGACAUUUUCUCGAGGCCGGAGCGAUAGUGAAAGUCAUGACGAUAACCUGCCCAGAACACAUCGCCUCCUUUUCUUCAUCAUCAUCCUCAUCCUUCUCCUCCUCACGCUCUUGGUUUUAAUCCCCUACAUGCAAUACGAACAGACGUCACCGUGCUUUUAGAGAUAUUCAGCACACUGUAAUAUCUUACACGUAUACACGUGGCGUUCCCAGCACACUCUUCUGAGACAACAAUCAUUAAACCUGUAAACCUCUGCAGACUCUUCGCUUUAUUUACACGUCUGAUGAUCACUUUUCGUGUGUCAGAGUCCGAGUGCUGUUGGUCUGAAAUAAGCAUUUGUACUCAGAG
ensembl:lncRNA